AGCGCUUUCAGCAGCUAGCAACGCAUAGCGAAGAGGUGCUGGGAUCUCGUGAGGAGAGAGGGCUUUUCCCAGUGCCCGGACAGUGUGCUCAGUCUGCAGAGAUGCCAGCCAGACAACUUAACACCUGCCAGAAGGACAGAGGGGGCCUGAGGCUCCUUUUCCGGCUGCUUCCCAUCCUGUUCACUCUUGGCUACUGGUGCGGUGCGACGAUGUGGCUCAAGGAUGUGUUGUGGGUAAGCGCCUCUUGCUGUGGGGAAGUCAGCAUCUGCAAAGGCCAUGGCUCUGCCCUCCUGCCUUCCCUGAGAACAUGGGGCGCCUGGCCAGAAAUACCCAUCACCACUGGGGCGGUGUUGGGGGGAGGCACCUGUGCUCAUCCUCCAGUCUCCUCAGUGGCUUGAUGGGGUUCAGAGUGGGGCUCCUCCUCAGUGACCUCCACAGGGUGGCAGGCUGAAGAGGGGAGCACUGUGCCAGAAGGUGCCUUUGCUGCUUGCAUACCUCUUGGAGGGCUGUGGGGUUCAGAUGGAGACCCAAAAGCUUCUCUGCUGAACGUGGCUGGUUAGGGAACCCAACCUUUGGGUCAGGGUUUCUCCAAAGUGACUCAAAGC